CGAGGGGAUGGCAGGAGAUCAAUCGGACCCAGAACAGAGGCCUGCAAGGAUGAGCGCACUUGAUCCCCUCAGAGAAAAAGCCAGAGUGACUCACAGGAGAAAGACAAAGCAACCAAAGCUUCCAGGGUGUACAGGAGGUCCAAAGUCACCAGAAGGAAGAAGAAAACCUGAAACAGCGAGAGCUGGCCAAACGCUGCUAAGACCUAUGCAAAUAAGACCCACCCACGCUACCUGGAAAUCGGGCCUGGGAAGUCAGAAAACAAAGCACAUGCGUGCAGGGCUGCACGAACGGAGGCGGAGGAGGCGGCUCCGAGGGAGCAGCUGAUCCUGAAACAGCAGUGGAUCCCUGGGAGAGCAGCACAGAUAAAGAUCCAGGCAAUAAUGAUGCUUCCUCCUCUUGGACAGCCUUUUACAGUUCUGGCCAUGGAACUUCAGAGAAGGUAGGUCUGAUUUGGGGGGAAACAGGAGAUCUUGACGUGUAGUAAUACAAGCUUACUGGAUGGAGUAAAGUUAGAAUUUUCAGGUAAGAGAAUU
rnacentral:lncRNA from 1 species